rnacentral:rRNA from 1 species
UACGUAGGGGGCUAGCGUUGUCCGGAAUCAUUGGGCGUAAAGAGCGUGUAGGCGGCUCGGUAAGUCCGCUGUGAAAGUCCAGGGCUCAACCCUGGAAUGCCAGUGGAAACUGUCGAGCUAGAGUCCGGAAGAGGCGAGUGGAAUUCCUGGUGUAGCGGUGAAAUGCGCAGAUAUCAGGAGGAACACCAAUGGCGAAGGCAGCUCGCUGGGACGGUACUGACGCUGAGACGCGAAAGCGUGGGGAGCAAACAUG